UUGUAGUUUUAUUUUGGUAACUACUAAAGUAGUAAAAACGUAAGUUUCUCCCUUCUGCAAAACACUUGGAAUAGCUCUUGGAGCAUCAGUGAGUUAUACAGCAAAUGCUCACACUGCAGAGAGUCAGACUGAAAGUCCAAGUCAUACUGGCUGGUUCAGAUGAAGUAAAACAGUUUAUCUCCCACUUCCUCCAGAAUACCAGGAAUGGGAAGGCUGCAUGCAGUGGGCUCUGCCUGCUUCCCUGUUCCUGUGGCUCUGCAGAACAGAACUGAUACUGGUAUGUGGGGCACUGACAUUGGCUGCUCUAACACAGACACGAUGAGGCUUAAGAGCAAUGUAAGUGCAAAAAUUCACCAUAUCUUUUUCUGUUUGCAAAUGAAAUCCAGCAGUGAACACUGAAGACAGGCACUCUCUAGGAUCUGAAGAGCUGCCCCAAGAAGAAGGGAAGAGCUGGCCAUAUAAAAGGGAACUGGCAAGAAGUAUGGGUCCCAAAUAAGGAGGGAGGAUGGGUGAUUGUAUCGCCUGUCCUCCAGCCAGUCAGCUCUUCCCUUCCUCCAGGACAGCUCCAUGGCUUUGCUCAGUGUUUCCAAUCUCUUCUUGCCCACAGCAGUGACAACAGGCAGGGUGUUAUUUAAUUCACUGCUGUUUUCUCUGAGCACCUCACCAGUAUUAUGUAGCUUUGCCCCAGAGUACACUCCAGGUGAGAGAAAUAUCAUCUUCACCUUACAGGAGGCUCCAUGGCAGACCAGCUGGGACCCAAACAGCUCCAUGUGGUGCCCUAAUCCACACUGCACAGGUACACAGGAAUACUCCUGUGCUAAAGGACACCAGCAACAUUGCAAAAUGAAGCACUUAAAAGGUGAGGGUACAGAUGCAGGUGCUGUAAAUGCAGGCACAGCAGAGAAGAAAUCCAUCUCCCUCCAUUCUCCAUCCGCUGAAAGAAACCCGAAGCCGUGUGGGAUGACUUUCACCCCAUCUGCUCCAGGCAUGCCCUUUAAAAAAAACCUACGUCAUGUUUAUAGAUUUUGAAUCUUCGAGUUCCUGAAGCUUCAGCUGGAGUCAACAGGUGUCCAGGGCACUGGGAAAUGAUCUACAGAGAGUCAACAGUUUGCAGGACCAGGCUGCAUCCCUCUGGCGUUUGCCCUUCCUGGAGAUAACUGGAGAAGCCCUUUCAGAAGGAAUGGGCUGGAGGAAGGAGUAAAAAACACAGGGACAUGCAUGUGUCCCCAGGGGCCUGCUCCUGCCCCUCAUUCAAGGCCAUUAGCUGUGACCAUACCUCAUCCUCGUAGA